UACGUAGGGUGCAGGCGUUAAUCGGAAUUACUGGGCGUAAAGCGUGCGCAGGCGGUUCGUCGUGUCCGAUGUGAAAGCCCCGGGCUCAACCUGGGAAUGGCAUUGGAAACUGGCGGACUCGAGUGUGGCAGAGGGGGGUGGAAUUCCGCGUGUAGCAGUGAAAUGCGUAGAGAUGCGGAGGAACACCGAUGGCGAAGGCAGCCCCCUGGGCUAACACUGACGCUCAGGCACGAAAGCGUGGGGAGCAAACAGG
rnacentral:rRNA from 1 species